CUCGGUGUAGAAACUCUAUAGCUUCCUGUGCAGAUGAACAACCUCACAUCGGAAACUACAGACUGUUGAAAACAAUCGGCAAGGGGAAUUUUGCAAAAGUAAAAUUGGCAAGACAUAUCCUUACAGGCAGAGAGGUUGCAAUAAAAAUAAUUGACAAAACUCAGUUGAAUCCAACAAGUCUGCAAAAGCUCUUCAGAGAAGUAAGAAUAAUGAAGAUUUUAAAUCAUCCCAAUAUAGUGAAGUUAUUCGAAGUCAUUGAAACUGAAAAAACACUCUACCUAAUCAUGGAAUAUGCAAGUGGAGCACUAUUCCUGAUCAGAGAACUCCAGUUGCUUCAACACACAGUAUUAGUAGUGCAGCCACCCCGGAUCGAAUCCGUUUCCCAAGAGGCACUGCCAGUCGUAGCACUUUCCACGGCCAGCCCCGGGAACGGCGAACCGCAACAUAUAAUGGCCCUCCUGCCUCUCCCAGCCUGUCCCAUGAAGCCACACCGUUGUCCCAGACUCGAAGCCGAGGCUCCACUAAUCUCUUUAGUAAAUUAACUUCAAAACUCACAAGGAGUCGCAAUGUAUCUGCUGAGCAAAAAGAUGAAAACAAAGAAGCAAAGCCUCGAUCCCUACGCUUCACCUGGAGCAUGAAAACCACUAGUUCAAUGGAUCCCGGGGACAUGAUGCGGGAAAUCCGCAAAGUGUUGGAUGCCAAUAACUGCGACUAUGAGCAGAGGGAGCGUUUCUUGCUCUUCUGUG
rnacentral:sRNA from 1 species